rnacentral:rRNA from 1 species
GAUUCCCUUAGUAAUGGCGAAUGAACAGGGAUGAGCUCAGCAUUAAAAUCUGGGCCCCCGGCCUUGAAUUGUAAUCUCGAGAAGUGCAACCAACGGCGGCGCAGGUGUAAGCCUCUUGGAAAAGAGCACCAAUGAGGGUGAGAGUCCCGUUUGUCAUCUGCAGUCCUCUGUGUACGGUGUGCUUUCUAAGAGUCACGUUCCUCGGGCUUGGAGCGCCAAAGGUGGUAAAUUUCAUCUAAAGCUAAAUAUAGGUUUGAGACCGAUAGCAAACAAGUACCAUGAGGGAAAGAUGAAAAGGACUUUGGAAAGAGAGUUAAAAGUGCCUGAAAUCGCUGAAAGGGAAGCGAAUGGAACCAGUGUUUCUUGCAGAGCUUGGCGAGAGUAAUCUGGAUGGUGCUCUGAUUCAGCGCAAGCGUUUCAGGGUUCUUUGAAGGUGCAUUCUUGCUGUUGCUCUGCUUGCUUGUCAACGUCAAUUUGGAGUUGGGGAAAACUCUGGGGUACUGGAAGCCACCUUUCGGGGGGGUGAACGCCCUUGUAGAACUCAUCUCUAGAUUGAAGUGCUUGCGUUUGGUUGCAAUGCCUCACUCUGUGCCAGCUGCCCUGGUAAAUUCAGCAGGUGCGCGGCGCUCAUCAGUGGGUGCGUUCCUUGACGCUACGAUGCUGACAAAAUGGUUUCACUCGACCCGUCUUG